rnacentral:rRNA from 1 species
UUAGUAAAAAUUAUUUAUUUAAAAAUUUUAAAUAAAAUAUUUUUUAUUUUUAUUAUAAUAUAGGAAAUAAUUUUUUAUAUGAUAGUUAAUUAGUAUAGUUAUAGAAUUUAAGUAAAAUUUUUAAAGAAGAAUUUAAAUUUUGUACCUUGGGUAUCAGGGUUUAUUAAUUAAAAUUUACUUAUGUAUAAUUCUCGAUUUUAAAAGAGCGAAUUAUUUAUAUAUUUUAUUGUAAAAUAAAUAUUUAUAAUAAAUAAUUAGUAAUGAAACGUUAUUCGUUUUUAAAUAUAUCUAGUUUUUAAAGAAAAAAUUUUAAUUUUAUUUUUAUUAAUUAUUUAUUAUAAAUUUUAAUAAUAAAUAUUAAAUAUAAAUUAUAUUAUAAGGGAUAAGCUUUAUAAUAAAUAAUUAUAAGUUUGUUUAUUUUUACAUAAAAUGUAGGAUUAGAAAUUUUCAUCAUAUAGUUUGUUAUAAUUAAUUAGAUUUAAUUAAAAAUUUAUAUUAACUUUAAGUUUUUUAUUUGAAUAUUAAAUUUAAUAAUAAAAAUUUAAAUAAUAAUGAUAAAAUUAGUAUAAUAUUAUGUAUUUUUAAAUUAUAAAUAUUAGGUUAUAAAAAGGAAUUCGGCAAAUAAAUUUUUCGCCUGUUUAUUAAAAACAUGUCUUUUUGAUUUUAAUAUAAAGUCUAACCUGCCCACUGAUAAUUUUAAAUGGCCGCAGUAUUUUGACUGUGCAAAGGUAGCAUAAUCAUUAGUUUUUUAAUUAAGAACUGGAAUGAAAGGUUGGACGAGAAAAUAACUGUCUCUUUAUGAAUUAUUUAGAAUUUUAUUUUUAAGUUAAAAAGCUUAAAUAUUAUUAAAAGACGAGAAGACCCUAUAGAGUUUAAUAUAAAAUUUAAUAAAUAAUUAUAGUUGAAUUAUUUUAAUAUUAUUAAUUAUUAUAUUUAAUUGGGGUGAUUAAAAAAUUUAUUUAACUUUUUUUAUAUAAUUACAUAGAUAUAUGAUUAAUUGAUCCAUAAUUUAUGAUUAUAAGAUUAAAUUACCUUAGGGAUAACAGCGUUAUUUCUUUUAAGAGUUCAAAUCGAUAAAGAAGUUUGCGACCUCGAUGUUGGAUUAAAAUUAAAUUUUGGUGUAGAAGCUAGAAGAUUAGGUCUGUUCGACCUUUAAAAUUUUACAUGAUCUGAGUUUAAACCGGUGUGAGCCAGGUUGGUUUCUAUCUUUAAUAUAAAUAUAAUAUUUUAGUACGAAAGGACCAAAUAUUAGUAAAAAUUAUUAUUAUUUAAUGAAUAUUAAUAUUAU